AACACAUGCAAGUCGAGGGGCAGCAUGAGUGGCAACACUUGAUGGCGACCGGCGCACGGGUGAGUAACGCGUAUGCAACCUACCUCUGACUGGAGAAUAGCCCGAAGAAAUUCGGAUUAAUGCUCCAUAAGACCACGAUACCGCAUGAUAAAGUGGUAAAAGUUCCGACGGUUAGAGAUGGGCAUGCGUGCCAUUAGUUUGUUGGUGAGGUAAUGGCUCACCAAGGCAACGAUGGCUAGGGGGUCUGAGAGGAUGAUCCCCCACACUGGUACUGAGACACGGACCAGACUCCUACGGGAGGCAGCAGUGAGGAAUAUUGGUCAAUGGACGCAAGUCUGAACCAGCCAUGCCGCGUGCAGGAUGAAUGCCCUAUGGGUUGUAAACUGCUUUUCUACAAGAAGAAACCCCUUGACACGUCAAGGGCUGACGGUAUUGUAGGAAUAGGCAUCGGCUAACUCCGUGCCAGCAGCCGCGGUAAUACGGAGGAUGCAAGCGUUAUCCGGAUUCAUUGGGUUUAAAGGGUGCGUAGACCGGGGUAAUAAUCAACGUGGUGAAAAGCCUGCGGGCUUAACCGGUAGAUUUGCCAUUGAUACUGCUAUUCUUGAGUGCAGUUGAGGUAGGCCGGAAUGUGUAAUGUACCCGGGUGAAAUGCUUAGAUAUUACACAGAACACCGAUUGCGUAAGGCAGGUUACUAAACUGGUUACUGGCGCUGAGGCACGAAAAGCGUUGGGAGCGAACAGGAUUUAGAUACCCUGGUUAGUCCACGCUGUAAACGAUGAUCACUCGCUGUUGGCGAUACACUGUCAAGCGGCUGAGCGAAAGCAUUUAAGUGAUCCACCUGGGGAGUACGACCGCAAGGUUGACACUCAAAGGAAUUGACGGGGGCCCGCACAAGCGGUGGAACAUGUGGUUUAAUUCGAUGAUACGCGAGGAACCUUACCUGGGCUUAAAUGCAGAACGACGUACCGGGAAACUGGUAUUCCCUUCGGGGCGGACUGCAAGGUGCUGCAUGGUUGUCAUCAGCUCGUGCCAUGAGGUGUCGGGUUAAGUCACAUAACGAGCGCAACCCUCAUCGUUAGUUGCCAGCGAGUAAUGUCGGGGACUCUAACGAAACUGCCGGUGUAAACCGUGAGGAAGGUGGGGAUGACGUCAAAUCAGCACGGCCCUUAUGUCCAGGGCUACA
rnacentral:rRNA from 1 species